AGCUUUGCGCAGUGGCAGUAUCGUAGCCAAUGAGGUUUAUCCGAGGCGCGAUUAUUGCUAAUUGAAAACUAACAAUCUGUGGAUUGUGGUUUUGACCAUUUAGUAAAUAAUGAAUCUUAAAACUAUUUUACAGGAU
rnacentral:snRNA from 1 species